CAGUAGCCACGGGAAUAUGGAGGGGGCUAGCGUUGUUCGGAAUUACUGGGCGUAAAGCGCACGUAGGCGGCUUGGUAAGUUAGAGGUGAAAGCCUGGAGCUCAACUCCAGAAUUGCCUUUAAGACUGCCGAGCUAGCAGGUGAGAGAGGUAAGUGGAAUUCCGAGUGUAGAGGUGAAAUUCGUAGAUAUUCGGGAGAACACCAGUGGCGAAGGCGGCUUACUGGCUCAUACUGGACGCUGAGGUGCGAAAGCGUGGGGAGCAAACAGGAUUAGAUACCCCAGUAGUCCCUGUCUCUUAUAA
rnacentral:rRNA from 1 species